UACAGAGGGUGCAAGCGUUAAUCGGAAUUACUGGGCGUAAAGCGUGCGUAGGUGGUUCUUUAAGUCAGGUGUGAAAUCCCCGGGCUCAACCUGGGAACUGCAUUUGUGACUGCACGGCUGGAGUGCGGCAGAGGGGGAUGGAAUUCCGCGUGUAGCAGUGAAAUGCGUAGAUAUGCGGAGGAACACCGAUGGCGAAGGCAAUCCCCUGGGCCUGCACUGACGCUCAUGCACGAAAGCGUGGGGAGCAAACAGG
rnacentral:rRNA from 1 species